rnacentral:rRNA from 1 species
UACGAAGGGGGCUAGCGUUGCUCGGAAUCACUGGGCGUAAAGGGUGCGUAGGCGGGUUUUUAAGUCAGGGGUGAAAUCCUGGAGCUCAACUCCAGAACUGCCUUUGAUACUGAAGAUCUCGAGUCCGGGAGAGGUGAGUGGAACUGCGAGUGUAGAGGUGAAAUUCGUAGAUAUUCGCAAGAACACCAGUGGCGAAGGCGGCUCACUGGCCCGGUACUGACGCUGAGGCACGAAAGCGUGGGGAGCAAACAGGG